rnacentral:misc_RNA from 1 species
AACACUGUUAACCUGCGGUACCUGCGGAGGGAUCAUUACAGAGUUGCAAAACUCCCUAAACCAUUGUGAACGUUACCUAAACCGUUGCUUCGGCGGGCGGCCCGGGUCCUUCCCGGCGCUCAUCGGCCCUCGCGGGCGCCCGCCGGAGGUAAACCAAACUAUUGCAUUGUAUGGCCUCUCUGAGUCUUCUGUACUGAAUAAGUCAAAACUUUCAACAACGGAUCUCAGAUCGGAAGAGCA